GACGAACGCUGGCGGCGUGCUUAACACAUGCAAGUCGAACGGUGAUGCUCCAGCUUGCUGGAGUGGAUCAGUGGCGAACGGGUGAGUAACACGUGAGCAACCUGCCCCAGACUCUGGAAUAAGCGCUGGAAACGGCGUCUAAUACUGGAUACGAAACUGGCCCGCAUGGGCAUGGUUUGGAAAGUUUUUCGGUUUGGGAUGGGCUCGCGGCCUAUCAGCUUGUUGGUGAGGUAAUGGCUCACCAAGGCGACGACGGGUAGCCGGCCUGAGAGGGCGACCGGCCAUACUGGGACUGAGACACGGCCCAGACUCCUACGGGAGGCAGCAGUGGGGAAUAUUGCACAAUGGGCGAAAGCCUGAUGCAGCGACGCCGCGUGAGGGAUGACGGCCUUCGGGUUGUAAACCUCUUUCAGCAGGGAAGAAGCGAAAGUGACGGUACCUGCAGAAGAAGCACCGGCUAACUACGUG
rnacentral:rRNA from 1 species